rnacentral:rRNA from 1 species
GAUGAACGCUGGCGGCGUGCCUAAUACAUGCAAGUCGAGCGAACGGACGAGAAGCUUGCUUCUCUGAUGUUAGCGGCGGACGGGUGAGUAACACGUGGAUCACCUACCUAUAAUACUGGGAUAACUUCGGGAAACCGGAGCUAAUACCAGAUAAUAUUUUGAACCGCAUGGUUCAAAAGUGAAAGACGGUCUUGCUGUCACUUAUAGCUGGAUCCGCGCUGCAUUAGCUAGUUGGUAAGGUAACGGCUUACCAAGGCAACGAUGCAUAGCCGACCUGAGAGGGUGAUCGGCCACACUGGAACUGAGACACGGUCCAGACUCCUACGGGAGGCAGCAGUAGGGAAUAUUCCGCAAUGGGCGAAAGCCUGACGGAGCAACGCCGCGUGAGUGAUGAAGGUCUUCGGAUCGUAAAACUCUGUUAUUAGGGAAGAACAUAUGUGGAAGUAACUGUGCACAUCUUGACGGUACCUAAUCAGAAAGCCACGGCUAACUACGUG